AAGCGCACAUGUGAUUGAAGGGCUGCCUAAUGUGAUUGGUCAGAAACACACAGGUGAUUGAAGGACUUCCCUUAUGGGUCUUGCUAGGAUGGGGGAGCUUCUGAAACCAGAGGUUGUGAGGCAUGUGGUUAGAUUGUGAACUGUCCCCCAGAGACUCCUGUGUUUGGACACUUGGACCCCGAUUGGUGGUGCUGUUUGGGAAAGCUAUAGAAGGUUAAGCUUCUGUGGAGGCAGUGAAUGGCUCAUGGGCAGCUUGUACCCCAGACCUGUAAGCCGAAAUCAACCCUUCCUCAGGCUGAUAACUUCUUCCCAGGUGUUUGUUCAUAUCAACAGGAAAAGUAGCUGGCGCAGAGACCACAGAUGCCAUCUUUCCGCACCACCAGGCAUCCAUCACGCGGGAUCAGCCGGGAGCGGCCGGUGAGGCGGCGUGAAUGCACCGCUAAUUAUCACCGAAAUGAACAAACCCGGCAGGAUUAUGAUUUCAUCUUCUGCCCUUCUCACUACCGGCUCCGCCCCAGUCUACGUGCGUCUUUUCAUGGAGAUGGCUGUUGGUGGAAAGCGCUCAGGAGGCUGCGGCCAUUGGCCGAGUGGCAUCUCUGCAGGCACUUGCAGGCUGGGUGCUGCUGCUGGUGGUGGCCAAGUUGAGUGAGCAGUGUGGGAGCCCACUGCCUGCCUCUAAACUUAUAGCCUGCUGUUAUGU